rnacentral:rRNA from 1 species
GACGAACGCUGGCGGCGUGCUUAACACAUGCAAGUCGAACGGAAAGGCCCUGCUUUUGUGGGGUGCUCGAGUGGCGAACGGGUGAGUAACACGUGAGUAACCUGCCCUUGACUUUGGGAUAACUUCAGGAAACUGGGGCUAAUACCGGAUAGGAGCUCCUGCUGCAUGGUGGGGGUUGGAAAGUUUCGGCGGUUGGGGAUGGACUCGCGGCUUAUCCGCUUGUUGGUGGGGUAGUGGCUUUCCAAGGCUUUGACGGGUAGCCGGCCUGAGAGGGUGACCGGCCACAUUGGGACUGAGAUACGGCCCAGACGCCUACGGGAGGCAGCGGUGGAGAAUAUUGCACAAUGGGCGGAAGCCUGAUGCAGCAACGCCGCGUGCGGAAUGACGGCCUUCGGGUUGUGAACCGCUUUCGCCGUUGACGAAGCGUGAGUGACGGUAAUGAGUAAAGAAGCACCGGCUAACUACGUG